AGAGUUUGAUUAUGGCUCAGAACAAACGCUGGCGGCGUGCCUAACACAUGCAAGUCGUACGAGAAAGUCCGCUUCGGUGGGCAAGUAAAGUGGCGCACGGGUGAGUAACGCGUGGAUAAUCUACCCUUUAGUUGGGAAUAACUCAUCGAAAGGUGGGCUAAUACCUAAUAAUACUGCUUUCACUGCGGUGAAACAGUCAAAGAAGGCCUCUGUUUACAAGCUUUCACUGAAGGAUGAGUCCGCGUACCAUUAGCUAGUUGGUAGGGUAAUUGCCUACCAAGGCGACGAUGGUUAGCUGGUCUGAGAGGAUGAUCAGCCACACUGGAACUGAGACACGGUCCAGACUCCUACGGGAGGCAGCAGUGAGGAAUCUUGCGCAAUGGGGGAAACCCUGACGCAGCAACGCCGCGUGAGUGAGGAAGGUUUUCGGAUCGUAAAGCUCUGUCAGGUGGGAAGAAAUGUGUAGAAGUAAAUAGCCUCUAUACUUGACGGUACCACCAAAGGAAGCACCGGCUAACUCCGUGCCAGCAGCCGCGGUAAUACGGGGGGUGCAAGCGUUGUUCGGAAUUAUUNNNCGUAAAGAGCGUGUAGGCGGCUUGAUAAGUCAGA
rnacentral:rRNA from 1 species